UUACAUUUUAUCGGUCGCUCUU
rnacentral:siRNA from 1 species